AUUUAUUAUUAUACUUUAUUUUUAAAUUGUUUUAUUUUUAUAUAAAAUAGUAUUGUUUUGAAAAAAUUAAUUUUAGUUUUAGUUAAUUUGUAUUGUGAGAGAUAAAUUUAUAAUUAGUUAAAAGAAAUAUUGAUUUAUUGUACCUUGUGUAUCAGGGUUAAUUAAAAUUAAAAAUAAAUUUUUUUAUCUCGAAUUUAAAAGAGUUAAGGUUAAGUAUAUUUAAUUGUUUUAUAAUUUUUUAUAAUUUAAUUUUAGAAAUGAGAUGUUAUUCGUUUUUAAAUAUAUCUAGUUUUUUAAGAAAUAAAUUUAAUUUAGAAUUUGGUUAAAAAUUUAUUGUUUUAUAAUAUUUUUUUAUUAAUUUUUAAUAUAUUUUGGGUUAAGCUUGAAUAUAAAUUUUUAUUAUAUUUUAAUUAGUUAAUAAAUUUUUAGGAUUAAUAUUUUCUUAAAAGGUGAAAAUUUUAUAAUUGAUUUAUUGAAUUUAAUUUUUAUUUUUAUAUAAGUUAUAUAUUAAAAUAUUUUGUUUAAUUUUAUUUUAUAAGAAAUUAUGAUUAAAUUAGUAAAUUUAUUUUGUUGAAUUAAUUUUAAUUGUAAGGUUAAUUAAAGGAACUAGGCAAAUUUGUUUUCCACCUGUUUAUUAAAAACAUGUCUUUUUGAUAAUAAUUUAAGGUUGUACCUGCCCAAUGAUUGUUUUGAAUGGCCGCAGUAUUUUGACUGUGCUAAGGUAGCAUAAUCAUUAGUUUUUUAAUUUAAGACUUGUAUGAAAGGUUUGAUGAGAAAGCUUCUGUCUCUAAUUAAUUUUAAUAGAAUUUUAUUUUUAAGUUAGAAAGCUUAAAUGUUUUUGAAAGACGAUAAGACCCUAUAGAGUUUAAUUAAUUUUUUAAUAAUUUUAUAUUGGUAAAAGUUUUAUUUUGUUAAAUUUUAAUUUGGUUGGGGUGAUUAAAAAAUUAACGAAACUUUUUUUUUAUUUUACAUUAAUUAAUGUAUAUUUGAUCCAUUAUUAUUGAUUAUAAGAUUAAAUUACCUUAGGGAUAACAGCGUAAUUUUUUUUGAGAGUUCUAAUCGAAAGAAAAGAUUGCGACCUCGAUGUUGGAUUAAGAUAAAAUUUUGGUGUAGAAGCUAAAGAUUUAGGUCUGUUCGACCUUUAAAAUCUUACAUGAUCUGAGUUUAAACCGGCGUGAGCCAGGUUGGUUUCUAUCUUCAAAAAUUAAAAUAGUUUAGUACGAAAGGACCAGUUUAAUUUAAUU
rnacentral:rRNA from 1 species